UCGUAUUAAUUAUUAAUCUAUUAAAAAAAAAAAAUAGAAAAAAUUAUUUGACUUUGUUGUGGUAUCUGUCACAAAUACUAACGUUCUCUUUAAUGUUAGAAUAAGUUAUCUAAGGUAGAGAUGAUAAUCUAACUUGCACUUCACAAUCUAAAUCAUAUUUAGCUCGAAAUGAAUUCGAUAUCGAAUUGCUCGUUUCGCUAACUUAUUUAACAAAUAUUCGCUCAAUCCAAUAAUAAGUUGAAUACAUAUAUUUUUUAUAUUUAAAUAAAUUAUUCAAUAUAUAAUUAUGUGUGUAAAAU
rnacentral:lncRNA from 1 species